ACUACGGGAGGCAGCAGUGAGGAAUAUUGGUCAAUGGGCGCGAGCCUGAACCAGCCAAGUCGCGUGGGGGAGGACGGCCCUACGGGUUGUAAACCUCUUUUGCCGGGGAGCAACGAGCGCCACGUGUGGCGUCACUGAGAGUACCCGGAGAAAAAGCAUCAGCUAACUCCGUGCCAGCAGUCUCGGUCAUACGGAGGAUGCGAGCGUUAUCCGGAUUUAUUGGGUUUACAGGGUGCGUAGGCGGAUCGUUAAGUCAGUGGUCAAAUUGAGGGGCUCAAACCCUUCCCGCCAUUGAAACUGGCGUUCUUGAGUGGAAGAGAAGUAUGCGGCAUGCGUGGUGUAGCGGUGAAAUGCAGAGAUAUCACGCAGAACCCCGAUUGCGAAGGCAGCAUGCCGGCUUCCGACUGACGCUGAAGCACGAAAGCGUGGGGAUCGAACAGGAUUAGAUACCCGGGUAGUC
rnacentral:rRNA from 1 species